UACGUAGGGGGCAAGCGUUGUCCGGAAUCAUUGGGCGUAAAGAGCGUGUAGGCGGCCCGAUAAGUCCGCCGUGAAAGCCCAGGGCUCAACCCUGGGAUGCCGGUGGAUACUGUCGGGCUAGAAUCCGGAAGAGGCGAGUGGAAUUCCUGGUGUAGCGGUGAAAUGCGCAGAUAUCAGGAGGAACACCAAUGGCGAAGGCAGCCUUCUGGGCCAACACUGACGCUCAUGCACGAAAGCGUGGGGAGCAAACAGG
rnacentral:rRNA from 1 species